CAGCAGCCGCGGUAAUACGGAGGGGGCUAGUGUUACUCAUAUUGAUUUGGCGUAAAGGGUAUGUAGGCGGUUUUUUUAGUUAGAGCUUAAAUCCUAUGAUAAAAAUUAUAGAAGUGUUCUAAAACAAAUUAACUUAGAGUUUAAAAGAGGAUAACAGUACUUCUAGUCUAGGGGUAAAAUCUGCAGCGGAUUAGAGGGACUAUCGCGGGCGAAGGCGGUUAUCUGGUUUAAUACUGACGCUGAGAUACGAAGGUGUGGGUAGUCAAUGGGAUUAGAUACCCCAGUAGUCCACACAGUAAACGAUGAACGUUCGUAAUUAGAAAAAAAUUUUUUAGUUACUUAGCUAACGCGUUAAACAUUCCGCCUGGGGAUUACGAUCGCAAGAUUAAAACUCAAAGG
rnacentral:rRNA from 1 species